UUCCUCCUCCUGGUAUAGGGCCUGUAUUAGUAACUGUCUGUUAUCUCCUCCUGGUAUAGGGUCCUGAUUAGUAACUGUUCUGUUAUUCCUCCUCUGGUAUAGGUUGGCCGGUAUUAGUAACUGUCUCGUUAUCCUCCUCCUGGUAUAGGGCCUGUAUUAGUAACUGUUCUGUUAUACCUCCUCUGGUAGAGGUAGGUCCUGUUAUUAUGUACUGUUUCUGUUAUUCCUCCUCUGCCGGUGACCAUGGUAUAAGGCCUGUAUUAGUAACUGUUCUGUUAUACCUCCUCCUGGUAUAGGUCCUGUAUUAGUAACUGUUCUGUUA
rnacentral:lncRNA from 1 species